rnacentral:lncRNA from 1 species
AAACACACCAAGGGCCAAUCCCCAUUGUCAGUCUUUCCCUUCAUAUUUCCCCUUCGUCUACCUCUGCCCCUUGGCCCCAAAGAAAUGAGAAGCCAUUUGAUUCCCGCUAUGUCAUCAUGCCUUGCUGCUUGCUGGCUCUGUCGUUGGCUGAUGCGACAAUAAUGGUAAACAAGUUGGAAAACAACACCGACCCCCAAUUUCCACCGCAUCCGGAACGGCUACCAGAAGGCCGUAUCUGCCGAUCGUAGCUGAUCGUAACCAUUCAAGUUAGUGUGUCUAUUUCUACCGACUUCUUUCCAUUCCGCUGCGGAUUGCCAGACUCCACAGCUGAUCACAAGAGUCCUUUCUUCACAGAUUAACCCGUGCUGGAAAGGAAGUCGGGCACAGACACAAAAUAAAACAUCCGGCUUCUUCCGGACGGAGAUGAACAAGUCAAAGGUUUAUAGAUGUCAUUUCACCCCGAUGACACCAUGGAUGAGGAGAUGCUGAUUCUAGAAGUCUAGAAGUAGAUUUCCUCCUCUGGAAGGACACAAUCUACUGCUUAUAUGUCUAUGUGUCUGUCUUUAUAGAGACAACUUGUUAUCAUGUGAUUGCAAAUGAAUCCGAGGGUUCUUGUGAGUUCCCGUGAUUCCUGCUGAUCGUAAUCUGCCACGAAAUUCGCCUCACAAAUGGAUCCGGUAGGAAUUGGCAGAUGGUGAAAAUUGCCGCCGUUCCAGAUUGGAGCCGUUCUGGAUGCAGUGAAAAUUGGUGGCUACUGUUGUAACGUUUAGCCUGAUGUAGCUUCUAUGUUAGAGGUUACUUAGCUGUCUGAUCAGUCUGUCUAAUCCGUCAUAAAAUGCAGUACAUCGUAGUGAAGUCUGUCUGCAGUGAAUUUGUCACCCGAGUCUGACAUCAGUGUAGCUAUCAUUAGCUGAAACUUUGUUAGCUAGCUCAUCAUAAUGAGCGAUUUUAAACAAUUCAAAACAUGGCUAAUAUUUACACGGAGUAGCAAAGGAUUGAACUUCUGAUAAAAACAUAAGUGUCAUAUCAAAGUCUUACCCCUCCCUUUCAAGUGAGGUCCUGGUUUGUCUUCGUUUCGAGGGCGUAGUCACCCUUUCCCUUAACCUUACAGAGAAUUGGGGCAACCCUUUACUAUUUGAAGGAUGCACCCCUUGGGAUACACUUGAGAUUGGCCCUAAAUUUUAAAAAAAUACGGUCAUAUACUGUAGAAAAACCAGUGGAUGUUUAAGAUGGUUUUUUUUACAUCGUGAACUCAAUAAAUUAAAUACCAAAUCCUGGAUAUGAGAUGAUCCCAGUGUCUUUCGUUCACUUUAGUACAAAGCAUAAAAACGGUGACAUUUUCCUUUUCUUUUGUGAGAAUCAUAGCACUAAUUUGGCAAAAACAGACCUGCAGUGUUGGCGGUCUCAACUUCAUAAUGAGGGACACAACAGGAUGAGAAAUCUUAGCAGCAAAUUCAUUUGUGCAAGUUCCCAAAUAUGCGAAAAAAGAUCGAAGCGAAUUCGGUAGCUGGUUUACAGCUGAUAUCCCAGACGUUGGAAAAAGACCCUCACAGUGUCCCUAUGAUAUUUAGUCUUACUGGUCAACUGAAGUGAUAUAAUAAUGUUUAUAUAAAACAAAUGGCGUACAAACCCAGACACACAUCCACAUCUCUUCAUCAUCUCAUCUCCGGAGAAACCACAGCCGUGUUUCUCUCCAGCUUUGGCUCCGUCUCUCCUCCAGCAGCUCGUCUUCCUCCCAGUGAUGUCUCUGCAUCUUUACUUUGGACCUGGUCCCAGGACAGAGACAGCCAGCAGACUGCAGGUGGUGCAGAUCUGAUGAAACUUGGACCACAGCUGUGAUACUGCCACCGGUGGGAGAGAAAAAGCAGAGGUAUUUUUGGACGGGGAAGGAUGCUCAAUAUUUACUGUUUUAAAUCUGUUUGUCGGGUUUAGUCAGAGCUAAUGUUUGGAAAUCUACAAUAUUUGAUUCCACAAACCAAAGAAAAUGAAUGUUACAACAUAAUUUACCGCUUUAGUGAUCUUCUAUGAAGUUAAAUAAGAAAAUCCAGGUGGUUAUGUGGUUUGUUUUCCCAUUUUAGUUACAUAAGCAUGAGCUGCUGGAGCAGGAGAGAGUAUUUUAUUCAUAACAAAGACUGUAGAGCAGGAAAGAGUGGCAAAAAGCACUUCGCAAUUAGCCAGUCACAUCCCAACAAGCGUACACUCGGAGCCUGGCUGUACGCUCGCUGCUGUGUGUCAUAAUCGUCAGUGUGUGAAGAGCAAAUGAACUUCUGCUCUCACAAGCACAAGAGUGUGUCGGUCUGAAAUGAGCUGGAGUGAGGCGCUAAAGAGGCCUGAUGCUAUUUUCAGAACCUGGUCUAAAGCCUGAAGUCAGGACUCCGACUUAUCGAGACGCAUCAGUGUCGCUUCUGAUAUGUUGGAUUGGAUUUGAGUGUUGAUUGGGACACUUGGAGAUUUCUUCUCUCAUCUCCAAUAAAGGGAUACCAGAAAACAAGGGCACCCUCAUCACUGCCAGAGACUAAUCAGAGUUAUUUGUGUAACAUGUGCCACGAGAUAAAAGGUGAUAAAAAUGACCUGAUCAACAAAAACUCUGCUGUCUCAGCGUCUGUUUUCUUCACCGCUUUAAGGAUGACUCGAUGUUUAUUCCAGUUCGAUUCCCCGCUUGGUCACAUUUCCUCUUCGUCUCCGCCCUUUCUUUUGCGCUUUCUUCCCACUUUUGGCGGUAGGGCAAGCAGAAGGUUUUUUUUUUUGCGUCCUUCUCCAUCACAGCUCCUAUAGCUAAGCUGCUACGCUACUUUUAGCCGCUCAGAGCUCCGAGGAGGGCUGGGAGAGUGGGAGGGGACAAGUCGGAAACACGGGAGAGGGGUGUGUCGAAUACAGCCAGGUGAUUGGCUCCUAUUGGUCAAUGUUUUUUGCAGCCCUGCACCUGCUAAGGUGAACGGAUUUUUUCAACUUUUUUCUCUUCACUUUGUGGAGAUCGCACUAUAGGACCAUGAUCGCCAUAUAAACGAGGUUCAUUAUAAUUACCAAUUUCUCCAGUCGUCAACGAUACCUUUGAAUGUUUGAUAUUUCUUCCCUCAGCUCCAGUGUGGGGAUGCCUGAAGACAAGGGCACCCUCAUCACUUCCUCCUUCUGGGGCGGCAGUAGCUCAGGAGGUAGAGCGGUCGUCCAAUAACCGGAAGGUUGGCGGUUCGAUUCCCCCCUAAUCCAAGUCUGUCCGUUGUGUCCUUGGGCAAGACACUUGACCCACCUUGCUCCCAGUGUGUGUCCUCCACUGGUGUAUGAUUGUGAGUGUUGUGUGGUGGUGGUCGGAGAGGCCGUAGGCGCAGAAUGGCAGCCACGUUUCCAUCACCACCAAAGUGUGACUGUGUGAGCGAAUGAAUGAUGUAUCCAAUGUAAAGCGCUUUGAGGGUCUCUGAUAAAGCGCUAUAUGAAAUCUGAUGCAUUAUUUUUUUUUUUCCUUACAUCCACGCUUCACCUUAGCACUGCUAAGGCUUAAAAACUUCAGCCUGAGAUGUCAACAAGCUCUCCAUCAUGCGCACUCUUGAGCGAAGGAUUUCUUUUAACACUCCUUUAGUAAAUUUAAUUUUAACUUUAAAAACAUUUUAUUUUACUGCACCUCACCCAGAUUAGCAAAAUGUGUUCAGACCACCUUAAUUUACUCAUUUAAAGAACCCCCUUUGUCUCAGGGUGUCUAUAUGAUCCAUAUGUAGGUGUGUGUGUGUGUGUGUGUGUGUGUGUGUGUGUGUGUGUGUGUGUGUGUGUUCAGUGUGUUCAGUGUGUAUUUCUGUCUAUAAACUGCUUACCUGGAGAAAAUGUUGAGGUUGAUGAGCCCACCGUGACCCCCAUCUCCUUAAGAUGUCACCUGCUGACGUGCAGAAAAGUAAGAUGGGUUUUUUGGUUGUGUGUGUGUGUGUACCUGCAGUCAGGUUUAUCUUGCUGUGGUUUCCUGGAUGUUAUGGCCUGAUUUUGAUGAUAACCGCCCUCUGUCAGCAGUCUGCAGAAAACCUCCUAUAAGCAGUUUUGCUCCUUUAGUAGCAGCAUACCCCCAACACAUGCUUACACAAACUGCAUACACACACUUGCACAAACACACACACACACACACCCUGCUUGUGUAUGCUGCUUUACGUUAAGUGUCGGCCUCUCUGUUUGUGGCUGAAUGAAGCUGCAGCGCGGCUCCAUAUUUGCCUGUAAUAGUAAAUAAACACUGUCUACUUCACGCUGCUGCUGGGAUAGAAGGACAACAUCUCAGACUGAACACCCGUUUAGUUCCAUUUGCAUCGUGGGUAUUUCUCCUGACAGACGUUAAGAUCCAAAUUACUAUUUCUGUGGGUGAAAUGUAUCAACCUGAGCCUGAGCAUUUAGAUAUUUCCUGUGCGUUUCCUCGUGUGUGUGUGUAUUUUGUGUAAGUGUAUGCAUGUGUGUGUUUUGCGGCGGCGUCCCGCUGUGCUUCUACACGGCUAUUGAUCAGGGGAUCUGAGGAGCAGCGGUAAGUGGAAGGUAAACAAGCUGCUCGAGACCUGAUGGAAGUCUUGUUAUAGAGAUUUAAAAGCCAGCCCCACGUCUCCGCCUCGUCUGUUGUGAGUGGUUACGGCUCCCUGGAUGUAUCAUGGCUCCUCCGUCAGUGUUGAUGCAGAACAGUCAGCAGCAGACCUGAUCAAAUAAGAAUCACAUACUCUCUCUUUCUUUACCAUUUUUAUUUCUUUACUCCCUCAGAGAGAGUUCUGGGUUUGAAUGACGGCCGGAGGAGAAGGUGAAUAGAGAGGGGAAAUGAUGCCACAGCUGAGUUGAUGAGUUCAUAAUCUACGAGAAGAUGAGAAGUUGCAAUCGAGCUGGUUUAACAUAUUUCUGCACUUUAACCUUCCAGAUAACCAAACGCUGAAUUGUCUGGGAUUAUAACACCAAUCAGAAGUUAGUGCAGCUCUCCCCUGGAUGGACCAUCCUGCAGCCUCCAGAUUGAGGCUGACUGAUGCAGAGCUGCCAAUCGUCACGCUUUGAGUGUGACAGUCAUGCAAUUUGACCAAUUCUCACACCACACGCCACACUUGACAUUCUUCACGCUUAUAUUUCUCCAUUUAAUACUCUGUAUUCAUGAUAGUAACCUUGCCUUGCUGUAGUUCGAGUAACUCUGAUUGACCGACCGAGACAACCAAUCCCAGACCAAUCCAUCGGUCCUUUGUGCCUAAAUCUAACCAACCAAGGAAGGCUGGUUGGUUGGUUAGACCACGCAAUAUAAACCAAUAAGAAGCAACGUAAGGCGGGUCUUGGCGUCUCUAACUACUUUAACUUUACAUACAACAGCGCCGACAUUUAAAACCCACUCAAUGUUCUCCUAAAGACGGACGGUAGGUUAAGACUCGCAUUAGGAAGUCACAGUGCAGGGAGAGCAGCUGACACAGAGGUGAGGACAUCAGUCUGAAGUUUUACUGUUUCUGCACAGUUACCUACUAAAGGGCCAAACCAAUGUUCAUUAGGAGAAACCAGAAACAACAAAACAAAUGCAAAGACUGAAAUUUGCUGCAAAAAAGACACAAAAUGUGUUUACGGUGAAUACUAAAGACAAUAAAAGAUUAUUUUUUAAAUUACGCAUAUCUUGAAAAAAACAUGCAAAACAAAUGUGACAGAAACACGGCUGAAAACGUCGAGUCACCCCAGGUUUCCCACCUGAUCUUAUGCUGCGUUCCAGUUACCUCGCAAGUCGGAUGUCGGAGCUGGGAAUGACAUUACAUCAGAGUUGACGGGGUUCCAGUAAACAAGUCAGAAAACAAAGAUGGAAACCAACUGUUACCCGUGGUCAGUUGUCGUUAGCUGUUGUCAGCUGUUGUUAGCUAUACCAGUUGAAAACAGCAUUCACAGUUAGACGUUGGGCAGUACAACAUAUACAACUUAUUUAAUUUCACAAAAACAAAACAGAAGUGCUAGUAAAUAAAACACUAUGAGAGCUUUCACUGUUACUCUUUACUGCUGCUGCCAUCUUGGAUUCUGACGUUGUCAUCAAGUGGGGGUUGGCGAGGAUCGUCAGACUUUUCAAGUCGAAAAUCCGACUUCAGAGUGGCAUUCCAGAUGAAUUUCCGACUCAGAGCUCUGAACUCCCGACCUCCGAGUACAACUGGAACACAGCAUUAGGCCUUGAAGUCGAGGACCUUGGGGGUUGUCGUCUUUCAGGAGGUCAGAAAUGUACUCAGCAGCUUCACCGUUUAAAUAAGAUUUCUAGACAAAGAAUAAAUCUUAAAAUGACCAUCCAUAAAGACUCUGAAUCACAAACUGUAAGUAACAUUCCAACAGCUAACAUAUGCCAGUGAGGCUAAACGGGGAGCUGUGUAAAAAGUAGCACCGUGCAAAGCUUAUCUCACGGUUUGAUGAGGAUGAAUGUUCUGGAUGUUUCCGAUCGUUCCCUCACACAUCCAUGAGUUUAAUUCAAACCGUGUUUCUGGUGCGAUGUCUUUAUUACCUGUUGGAAACUUUUGUUCUCUGCUGCAGAAAUAGUCGCUCAGAAUAAGAUGUUUGUUUUCCUGAUGGCUCUGGUUUUAUUGCAGGAGUCUUUCGCAGCAACGCCACAAUUCCCCAACACGGUGACAGCAUAUCCUGUGUUUUAUAUUUGUUGUCAGGCGGUGUUGUGUUUUUCCGCCUGAUUUACACCCUGAGAGAUUUACAUGUCUGUGUGCAAAAGGCUGAAGCACGCUGUGUUCUGACUGCAGCUGAGAGGACACAGGCGGGUACGUGACGCCUCCAGCCUCUGAGCGGGAGAUGAUCUCUGCCCCGGCUGUUUACUGAGAGGAAGAUUGGUGGGUUUGGGGUGGUUCUGCAUUUCUGUUUAACGCUGUUUUAUUUAGUUUGAUUUCUCAAGCUGUAAUUCAGACUGCUUUUCAAACGCUGAUACUCCAACACGGCCUCCAGUCUCCAAGAAUAUCUGUCCUUCAUUCCUCCGCGGUUUACUUAGAAGUGCUGUUUGUGUUUUCAUUUACUGGCUGUUUGUUUGUCGGGCCUGCUCAGUAAUGCUUUCACUGAGUGCGGCUCUGUGCGGCGUCAUAUCAGCCGUGCAGAGUCUGGACCGGUCGUAUUUAUAGAUCAGCCCUCCAGAAGCCGGAGAGUAAUGAUGCUCUACAAAUGGGACUCAUCCAAAACUUGUUCCCCCUCCUCCCCCUACACACAGUCCUGUUAACCCUGACACUCCCACCAACACAAUCCUUACAUGUAACUCAUACACUUCACCACUUUCUAGAUUAUACACCUCCUCCAAGCUGCAGGUGUCAAACCCUUUUAUACAUCCUCUAUACAUGUAAGCCCAUAACCUCCAUUUCUCAGAGAAGGUGGCACCCUGUAAUUGUCCCACCCUGGACCCCGACGAGAGUUAUUUCAAACCAAACACAAUGUGCCGGUAAAGUGCUAUGAGCCUUUUAGUCAAUCCGUCUUCGGCAGGCGACUUUUAGUUCUUAAAUCAAUCAAUCAUUUCUGCGUCUAAUAGAGUUCUCACCUUACAGACGGCGGGAGCUUUGACGGAUGUAAAAGGCUGCAUGUGGGGUCUGCAGCCCUGUGAAUGGAUGAAUCAUAGAAACACGAGUCUUGGGUGGAGGGUGGAGGUUUCAAGUGCUGAGGAGACUUUAGUCCAAAACAACGUGCAAGAAUCGAGAAAGAAAAAGACUUAAAUUAUAUUGCUGUUUUUUUGUUUUCGUUUUCUUAAUUCUAGAUCAUCC